rnacentral:rRNA from 1 species
UAGGGAAUCUUCCGCAAUGGGCGAAAGCCUGACGGAGCAACGCCGCGUGAGUGAUGAAGGUCUUCGGAUCGUAAAACUCUGUUAUUAGGGAAGAACAAAUGUGUAAGUAACUAUGCACGUCUUGACGGUACCUAAUCAGAAAGCCACGGCUAACUACGUGCCAGCAGCCGCGGUAAUACGUAGGUGGCAAGCGUUAUCCGGAAUUAUUGGGCGUAAAGCGCGCGUAGGCGGUUUUUUAAGUCUGAUGUGAAACCCACGGCUCAACCGUGGAGGGUCAUUGGAAACUGGAAAACUUGAGUGCAGAAGAGGAAAGUGGAAUUCCAUGUGUAGCGGUGAAAUGCGCAGAGAUAUGGAGGAACACCAGUGGCGAAGGCGACUUUCUGGUCUGUAACUGACGCUGAUGUGCGAAAGCGUGGGGAUCAAACAGG